rnacentral:rRNA from 1 species
AGCAUGUAAACUUGUCUUUUUUUUCGAAAAGAAGGUUGAAACCCCUGGCCUCUGCAUCCAAGGAUGCAUGCAGCCAUCAUUAUUAAAUUAUUAUUCAACAAAACCUGGCGGAACAAAUACAUGCCAUCUUCUUGGCGACCUUUGUUGCUACACCUACAAGCUUGAUGAUAUGCCUUGACCCGGCACCAACAUACACCAUCCAACCCGAUGGCCUUGCCAAGCCGCCCCAUGGAGAGCCGAGAGCACCAACCGGCCUAGCAGACCCUUAGCAUGCACCACAUGCACACUCUCUACAAUCCGCCACCACCAUCUUCCGCCGUCUCAUCUUUAGGAGGGAUCAAUGAAUUGACCUUGCCAGACCCAACUGCCGUCGACACCACCGUGACGCCAGACAGCGUCACCACCCUGCGCGCGUACAUCCACAUGCUUCCAUCGCCAAGACUCAACUGCGCCACGCCGCCAAGACCCACCAUCGUCGAUGCGGUAGAUGCAACACCACGCCGCCAAGACCCACCAUUGUCGAUGUGGUAGACGCAACACCACUCCACCUUUUGGCCCCUCCAGCCAGCACCUCCUCCAAAACGAUGCCCCCAGAAGGGAAAACGGCAGCAAAGGCGCCGACAUUAUUCGAUCCGGGAGACCCAGAUCUAGGCUUUCCCCUGAAGUAGACCGAGCGAGCUGACACAGACUGCAACGAUGACGCCUCGACAAGGAAACGAUGUCAAAGACGGCGCCAUCGUCCGCCAUGGCCGAAGUUGUGAUGAUUUUCACCGGCAUCCGCGUUACCCCGACUCCGCAGCUGACUGGAUCAGCGUGGAGCCGCGCCGUGAAGAUGCACGCGGCCGCCGAAACGCCGGUAGAGGACCUCCAGCCGCACCUCACCGACCCCUCCACACGCCGCUGGCUGGCCAAGGGCCACACCGCGACGGAUCUGAACGGGGAUCAGAUCCACAAACCACCAACCAUCUCUUGAGAGCACGCCGGAGACCGAUCCCCAUUGACCCUCUGGCCAUGGAGGCGAUCGCCGUCGCCGCCCGACCAGGGGACUCCAUCCUGGCUGCCGCGCUCGGUGGUCCAGCGACGACCACCCGCCUUCCCGGAGAGGAUCUCCUGUAGGUGGCCCAUGAGACCGCCGGGGAUCAGAUCCCCGCCGCCCCCAUCAUGGGCGCCACGCGGCCUAGUCCGGCAGCGGCCUCCGGGAGCGGCGAGGAGAGAGAGAUUGGGAGGAGGGUGGCGGUGGCCGGCUAGGGUCGCGGAAAGAGGAGGAUCACGGGAGGAAGAUGAGAUUGGGACUUGGGUGGUGGCGGCCGUCUAGGUUUAAUGCAAGAUUUAUAGGGAAUCAUGGUUUCUCAAUUGGUGUGGAUGAUGUCCAACCAGGAGAAAGUUUAAAUCAGAAAAAGAAAAUAACAAUAGAUGAAGGGUAUGAAAAAUGCCAUGAGCUUAUUGCCCUAUAUUCCAAAGGUGACCUCAUACCGCAACCUGGUUGCAACAGAGCUCAAACACUGGAGUCUCAGAUAUCUUGUCUUCUAAAUAAGUUAAGAGAAACGGCUGGAGAUGAUUGUAUGAGUACGCUUCACUGGAGGAACAGCCCAUUGAUUAUGUCUCAGUGUGGAUCUAAAGGUUCUCCAAUCAAUAUUAGUCAGAUGGUUGUAUGUGUUGGACAACAAUCAGUUGGAGGACGCCGUGCCCCAAACGGUUUUAUAGAUCGAACACUUCCCCACUUUCCUAUUAAUUCAAAGACCCCUGCGGCGAAAGGUUUUGUUGCUAAUUCCUUCUAUACGGGUUUGACUGCUACUGAGUUUUUCUUCCAUACGAUGGGUGGACGAGAAGGUCUCGUUGACACAGCGGUCAAAACAGCAGAAACUGGAUAUAUGUCCCGCAGACUAAUGAAGGGUCUUGAAGAUCUCUCAGUUUUCUAUGAUCAGACUGUCCGUAAUGCUAGCGGCGGUAUUGUUCAGUUUGUCUAUGGAGAUGAUGGUAUGGAUCCUGUAAAGAUGGAAGGAAAAGGUGGCCGUCCCUUAAAUUUGGACCAAUUGUUUAUGAAAGUCAUGGCCACAUGUCCGCAAAGGGGACAUGACACGUUAUCUCCAGAGUUAAUCUUGCAAAUGCUUAAUGAUAAGCUCUCCGGACAAGAUGCCUCAUCUGGUGGUUGUAGUGAUAAGUUCAAGGAGAUGUUAAGAAAAUUCUUUGAGGACCGCAUCAAAAUGCUUAGAAGCACAUGGAGAGCGCUUCAACUAGAUGAAGAUCGUGUGGGAAAGAGGGACUCUAGCAUUGAAGAACGCGUUGCUGCUGAUAUUUCUGGCAUAUCUGCGAAACAACUGCAGGUUUUCUUGGACACUUGCUUAUCUCGUUAUCACUCAAAAAUAAUCGAAGCAGGAGCAUCAAUUGGGGCAAUUGGGGCACAGAGUAUUGGAGAGCCUGGGACCCAAAUGACAUUGAAAACCUUCCAUUUUGCAGGAGUAGCUAGCAUGAAUGUUACUCUUGGAGUUCCCCGCAUUAAGGAAAUCAUCAAUGCUGUUAAAAAGAUAAGCACACCAAUUAUCACUACAGAACUUUUGUCUGAGCAGGAUGAGUUAUUUGCAGCCAAAGUGAAAUGUUCUAUUGAGAAAGUAGUGCUGGGUGAGGUGGCAGCAGCCAUAAAGAUUGUCUUAAGAUCAAACCAGCCACAUUUGGUUGUUGAACUCGAUAUGCAGCGCACAGAAAGGUACAUGGGAAUCUCUUCUGACACUGUGCAGCUGUCAAUACUAAAUGAUCCAAAAAUAAAGUUAAAGUCUGAGCAUGUUCGUGUCAUCGAUGAAACCAAGUUGAGAAUAUAUCCAACUGGAACAGAUAAGUCCAAACUUCAGCUUGAGCUGCACAAUCUCAAAUCGAUGCUUCCAAAACUGAUUGUAAAGGGCAUUUCAACUGUUGAAAGAGCUGUUGUCAACCCUGUUUUAAGACGCGAUGGAACUUUCGACAGAUACAACCUGUUGGUUGAAGGAACAAACCUCCUGAAAGUUUUGGGUACUCCUGGAGUUGAUGCUAAGAGAACAAAAAGUAACCACAUUUUGGAAGUGAACAAAACACUUGGAAUUGAAGCUGCAAGGAGAUCUAUCAUUGAUGAAAUUCGGUAUACCUUUGAAAAUAACAACAUGAUGAUUGAUCUGAGACAUAUGAUGCUUCUGGCAGACCUGAUGACAUACAAGGGCGAAAUUUUGGGCAUCACGGCUGGUGGCAUCGCGAAGAUGAAAAGCAGCGUGCUGAUGCUGUCUUCAUUCGAGAGAGCUUCGGAGCAUCUCUUCAAUGCUUCGUACGCUGGUCGCGAGGAUCAGAUAGAGGGAGUUAGUGAAUGCAUCAUCAUGGGCAUACCCAAGCAACUCGGCACUGGUAUCCUCAAAGUCAGGCAAAGGCUCCAGGAUUUGCCUGAAUUCAAGUACCAGCCUGAUCCAAUUCUACUGUGAGAUCGAAGAAGCUUGGAUUUGGGGAUGCAUGGCAUAGGACUGUACUUUCUUUACAGCUCGUUUGGCACCCCUCAUUUCAUGUGGUAGAAAUGAAAUGAAAUCUAUGUUAGGAUUUCAUUUGGUUGACAUGGAAAUCCAAUUGCAAAAAACUUGUUUGGCUGCUACAAGGAUUUGUAAAUUGCAAUGACUCCCAUAUCAUGAUGUUUGACUGUCAUUUUGGCAAGAAUUGAUAAAGCCACGCAUAGUUUGGCUUAAAAAAUGAGAUGUACCAAGUUGCGGCACACAAUCUUUCAUAUAAGAAGCAGCUCCAUAAAGC